GACAAGGAACCACGAGGCAUUAUUCCACUGGAGAAUCUGAGCAUCCGUGAGGUGGAGGAUUCUAAGAAGCCGAACUGCUUUGAACUAUAUAUUCCUGAUAACAAGGACCAGGUGAUCAAGGCGUGUAAGACAGAGGCAGAUGGGCGUGUGGUCGAAGGGAACCACACUGUGUACCGUAUCUCUGCGCCCACCCCAGAGGAGAAGGAAGAGUGGAUUAAGUGCAUCAAAGCUGCAAUUAGCCGGGACCCCUUCUAUGAGAUGCUCGCUGCACGCAAGAAGAAAGUCUCCUCCACCAAGAGGCAUUAGUCACCAGACUGAAUUGAACUGCAGCGACUUUGGCAGGAGAUGCUUCUCCGUUCCCUGGCAGACUGCACAGGACUGCCUGCUCUGUGUUGACACCCUUGAAGGGACUAGCUUCAGCUUUUGCUAUUUUCUGGUUUGGGGGCAGGAAGAGUGCAGGGAGGGCCUGUGUGGAUGGCAGCCACCCACUCUCCAUGGCUUCUUCUUUGCAGAAAGGGCACCCUUCCUUCCUACCAGACGAGUGUCAGGGCCGCUUGCGGCAGGAGGAGAAGGAUGUUGGGGUCACUUUUGCUACCACGGCUGACUUGUUCAUUGCCUUAGUUAGUGGGGAGCUGGAGAGCAUCAUGCACUCUGCACUUCAGAGAGGCACAGGCCUGUUCAAGCUGCCACGGGCAAGUGUGAGCUGCACCAGGCUUUCGGCUGACCCUUCCUGAGACCCAGGAGCAGGGUGCACCACAGACUGCCAAAAGCAUAGCUUAGGCUGCAGCUAGAUGGGGGCAAGUUUCUCUGGCUCCAAGCGUGGAGAGUCCUGCGUCACUCUGCAGGGUUGCUCCCCAGUAUUAUUUGCUCAAGCAAGCCCAGCAGCUUCUGUCCCCGGAGCAGUUGGGCCAUAAGCUCUGUUGUGUUUAAUUUCUGGGCUUCUCUUCAGCAGUGAAUUUGAUCAGGCAUGUUGGAUGAUGAGCAACCAAGCACCUCAUCCCCAAGCGUGGACGUGGGCGGAUGAAGUAAGGCUGCCACUUCCAGGAUUUUCAUUGCUCUUGUUCUAGAGGGCACCUAUUUAGGCUGUAUCGGAUGCAGUGUCAGGAUGAGGCCAGCAGCGGGCUCCCAUACGCCCCUGUGCCAUCAGGAGGAGGCAGAGCUGUGGUGAGCCAGCCAGGCAUGCAAGCACUGGGGGGUGGGGGUGGCACAACCCUUGUUUGGCACAACAGGCAGCUUUGAAGGGAAUGGCUGGGAAACUGGCCCCCACAGCGGCUGCAUGCGAUCCGAUCCCUGCAGCUGGAGCUCUCCUCUCCUUCAGUUUCAUGUUAAUGUCGCAAUUUGAUGGCUCAGGAAUGAGCAUAACCCGCAAGAGGAAAAGACCGGUGGUAUCCCCUGCUGGGCUGCAGAAAGCAGCUUGGGGGCUUUUCCCUUGGAGCACCUGGCUCUGGAUCCCAUAACACAGCCUGCCUGUGGCAGUUGCACUUUUCAGCAGGGGUGGGUUCAGGUGGCUUAGGCUAGUGGCUACCCUGGACUUGCAGGAGGCAGUCCUCGGCUCAGAAGCACAAGCAAGUGGUUGGCUGUUGGGGAACCACAGGGAGCCCAGUGGGGCGGUGGUGGAGGCGAGGGUCUGGCGGGGCGGGGGGGGGGGCAAGCCUGCGCCUAUGAUGGGGAGGAGAAGGGUCAAGCCAUAAGAAGACUGCCUUCCCUGGUAAAGGACUAUGGUGCCGUUGGCUCAUCAUGCACCUUGGCAAGCUCCAGUAUUAGUCUAUUUAUCUGAGAUGUACAUACUCUCUGUAUAGAUUUUUCUCUUUUUAGAUUAUUUUGUAUUUGUUUUAAAUAAGAAGAUUGGUUUUUGUGAAACUUAACGGGAUUCUCCAGCACAGCUGUGGCAUAAGGGGGAGAAGCAAGGGCAAGGUGGGAGGAGGGUGGAUGUGACACCCGGUCGAACUGUUUGAUUACAGUUUUGCUUUGGUUCCUUUUUCUUUCCUAGAGGGUUUUUUGUUUUUGUUUUGCCACAACCUUGUGAUCUAGCACAGAGCAACUGCAGCAAAUAAAUGUUGAUCUCACCCUUGGCGUGAUGCCUGUCUCUGACUGCCUCUGCCCUUCUAGUCUACAGUUCAGUGAAUCUCCUCUUUGGGGGAUAAUAUUGCAUCCAGCAGGCAGGGCCUUCCUGGCUGAGAGCGAGGCCAAUGACCGGCGGGCCUGGGCAGCCUCUUUGGGUCUGCAGUACCACAGAACAAAGUGGCACAGGAGGGUUGCCACUGAGGCAGGUUUCUGCUGUGCUCCGGCAUUAUCACCUGCUCUACUGAGGAUCUACGCCUCCCCACACCCCUGGGUGGGAUUGGUUUGAAUGCAGCCUUCCCCAACCAGGAGCCCUCUGGAUGUGUGGGCUGCAUUUCCCAGAAUCCCCUUGCCAGCCAUGGAUCUCAUGAUUCUAUUAUGUUUGUGCCUGCCCCUUCCUUGCACAGUUUUGUAUAGUUUAACUUCCUUUGUUCCACGUGUUUUUGCUUUUAUGAGUUGUACCUGGUGCCCUCCAAGCAUGGGGUAUACCCAUCAGUUGUACUCCUGGAUGAGUAUAUAUUUGACCCAUAUGUAGCAAUAUAUGGGGGACAUGGGUGGUGCAAUGGUUUAAACCAUUGAGCUGCUGGGCUUGUCAAUCGAAAGGGUGACAGAUCGGUGUGACAGGGUGAUCUCCCAAUGCUUUGUCCCAGCUCCUGCAAACGUAGCAGUUUGAAAACAUGCAAAUAUGAGUAGAUAAAUAGGUACCACUUUGGUGGGAGGUAAAAGCAUUCCAUGUGCCUUGGUGUUUAGUCAUGGUGGCCAUGUGGCCAUGGAGACUGUCUGCGGACAAGCGCUGACUCCCUCGGCUAGGAAAUGGAGAUGAGCACCGCCCCCUAGAGUUGGACACGACUGGGCUUAAUGUCAUGGGGAAACCUUUAGCUUUACCCUGAAUAAUAUAUAUGAGUAAAAUAGUGUAUAUACAUUACAAGUAGAUAAAUGCAUUAUCAGUAUGAAUGAUACUUUUAGUAUGAUAGACAGCCAUCACUUCAAGAUGAGAGAGGGUUAGUUAGGAAAAAGAAGACAAUGUUAUUUAUAUCCUGCCUUUCUACCUACUUGAGGUGGCUAAAAAUAAUAUGCACUUUAAAAACAAGAUUUUAAUUAAAAGAGGACACAAAUGCAGAUACAUAGAAAAAUAAUAGAAGUAGUGCCUAACUAAUUAAAAACCCCAUC
ensembl:lncRNA